CAGCCAUAUCACAUUGAAACAGCGGUUCCCGUAUGAGCCACAAAGUAAAGCAACGUCAAGCCUUGUUAGUACCUAGAUGGGUGACCGCUAGGGAAAAUCAGGUGCUGUAA